ACUCACAGAAAGACUGCUCCGCUGUCUCCAACUUUGCUCAUUGUUUUUUAGCUCAGUGCAGACAACUCUGUACAUGGCUGGAGAGAAAGGAGCCAGCUACUGCAGAAAAAUGGAAACUGUUCACCCUCACUCAGCAAGUUUCAGAAUGAAAACCAGAGAUGACAGAGGUGAAGCACAAACUUUCCUGUCAAAAGAAUGUCACAAGGACAACAGGAGAUGGAGUGAAUGAGCAGCGAAGAGCUCUUGCGUCUCUUACCUCCACUCUGGCCUGGUCUCCGUCCAUUCCUUCUACAUCAGCGACUCUCCCAGGACAGCAUUCAAUAAGUGAUGACACUCACAAUAGGUAUGGAACACAAAAGAUUUAAGCUGCAAAUAAAGUAUUUUGAGUCAGUACUACACCAACCAACAAGUUCUGUGAUGACUUUAUCCUAGUGUACCAGAUAUCUUUGCUGUUGUGCACAAGUAUACUUCCUGAAGAAUGAGGUCAGAAUACUCUUUCAAAUAAUAUUCUUUCUACUCCAUAAAUAUGAGAUUGAAUUUCUAAAUUAUGAAUAUGAGGGAUGCUUUCAAAAUGUCUUCUUCCUUUACAUUCAACUCAUAUUUUCUCCCCAAAAUCUGCAUUCCAAUCCCUAGCAUUUCUCAUCUCAGUCAGUGACAAAAACGAUCACACAAUUUUUCCAAGUUGCAACUUGAAAAUUAUUCGUGGCUAUUGAUUUUACCUUUCUGUUGCUUUAAGUCCAUCAGAAAAUCCUAUUGUUUCUUGUCUUAGUUACUGUUCUUAUUGCUGAGGCGAAAUACACAAGUCCCAAGAUCAAAAGAAAAAAGACUUAUUUCAGUUCAGUUUGUAGGAACUCCCACCCAUAGUCAGCUGGCUCCCAGGCAGGCUGCAUGGCAGAGGAGCAUCACAGAGAAGAAACAGUCCAUGGCAAAGCAGGGCGGGCAGAAGACUGCAAAGUAAACAGCAGAACAAAAGAAGCAACCACAAGCCCGCCUCUCCCAUGUGUCUCAUCCAGGAUACACGUCUUUGAUUGGUGCUUCCCACACCCAAGAUGGAACACACAAUUCCAGCAUCACAAAUUUAACACUAGCGUCACACAGCCUAGACCAGCCACCUCUGAAAAGCCCCAUCUGUGACUGCUUGAGACUUCAGAGGAAUAUCUUCAUGCACGCCAUAACAGAGCUCCCUGCGAAAUCUCUUUUGUGUCUUCUAGACCUUUAUCUCUCCAUUUCUACCACCUACCCGCCAUGGUCUCUUACCUGUGAUACAGAGACUGCUCCUAAAUAUGCAGUAGUUUCCAAUUUUAAUCCUUGCUCCUUUUAACCCACUCAUUAUAGCAGCCAAAACUACUGUAUAUUCUUAAAAACCAAAUCAGAUGGUGCCGAUUUCUGCUUAGAAAAUCCCCUAUUCUUUUCUGCCCCAAGGUAUCUCUGCUCUGAUCCUUUACUGGAAUUGUUUUACACUCUUCACUUGGCUAGUUCCUUCUCAUUUUACAGAUAGCAGAAUAAAUAUCACCUUCUCAAAGGGCUUUACUAGCUAUCUUCUCUAAAGUUGACUCACGUUCUAUUAUCUCAGAUUUGUUUAUUACAUGGUAUAUUUCAAGGUUUGUGAUUAUUUUGUUUCUUUGUUUUUAAUCUACCAGAGAGAAGGAUUAUGUUUGUUUCCUGUAUCCCUUUAUCCUCAUGGCACACAGUGAAUUCUCUAUAAAUUUCCACUGGAUGGAUAGAUGGAUGGACAGGUAGAUGGAUGCAAUCACUCAGUUGUCUUAAGCACCUGGGGCUAGUUUUAAGAAUCUGGCAAUAUGUGGAAAUAGAGGCCAAAACUUUAUGUAAAACAAACAAAAGAUUCGACUUAUAAAGGGACAAUGAAAUUCAUUUUUGUUAUCAUUACAUAGCUCCACUCCUGAAACAGCACAUGGGCUUCAGAAAUGCAUCCUCCAUGAAUGAGUGAAGUAGCCUCUCUAAUAACAGUUGGAUAAAGCUAAAAGAUAAGGUGAGAGUCGUACUGUGUGGAUGAACAGCUAUAUGUGAACACGCAGAAACUGUUUUGUGAUUAGCUCUAUUGUUGAGGAUGUCAUUACUCAGGCAGUGAUUAAAAGUUCUUUUAUUAGAAUUCAUUGUUUAAUACCUAGAUAAGAGGGGUCAUCAGUUCUGAACCCAGCUAUUCCAGUCUCUUCCUUGAUUGUAAACAGCUUUUUCAACUCCUUGGGAUCUCAGUCCUUUCCCCCUUUAAGACUUUGGCUAUUAGUGCUACAAUGUUACAGUAAUCAAGCUAAUAUUACUAGCAGCAGGGAUACUACUACUACCAUUAUUACUAAUAUUAACACUAAAAAUUUACAAUGUGGAAAAGGUUUAUUUAUUCAUGUUAACAAUUAUAGAAAUAAAAUUAAAGACCCAGAAACUUCGAGUUUCUUUGUUUAUAUGAGCUCUUAAUGUAGUAAGAAAUAAGGAAGACAUGUCACCUAUCAAAAAGAAGAAAGUUAUUGUAUAUCAAUUCACACAAUAAUUCUUUUGUAAUGAAUAACACCUAAAAUUUCCAAAGCACGUCUAUUCCAGAAUUUAUUGUGGAAUCCACCAGAAAGAAAGCUUUUGUAUUCACAAAGUAACAAAAUGUUGAUGAACAUGUGAAAAUAAAGGAAGAUCUCUGCCAAAAAAUGUUGAGUGGUAUAUCUGAAAGGAGAUUCAGGUAUACAUUUAAGAAGAAAGGAGAUUAGUUUCUACGCAAAGAGCAAAAGUGAACCAUUGUAUAGAAGAAUGGAGAAAUCAAAAAUGUCCUUUAUUAGUUGAAUUUUUAACUUUCUAAAUUGGUGACAUAGUUUUUUCUUUGUUACUUUUCCCCAUCACCCAGAAGAUUAAAAAUUCCCAUUUUCAAAAAUUAAGAAACAUUACAUAAAAUGUCAAAUAUAUUACCAUUAACAAGGGUCAGAAUCACCAAUCUGUAUUUUAUUAAAUUACACAACAGUAACUAAGAUUCUGAGAAUGAGAUUAAAUUAUUUUUCUAAUUUGUGCUCCACAUACUGAAGGUAUAAUCUGGACACAUAGUUUAUACACACCAGAAAGAGGAACAUAGUAUUAUUGCCUUUGGGAAUAUUAUGAAGAUUAAAAGCCACAAUCCAUGUAAAAUUUGCCAAGUCUCAGUAACACUUAAUAAAAUGUUUGCUAUUAUUAUUAACAAGGCUUUUCUUCUAAAGCUUGCUGGAAUGCAUUGCCUAAUCGUUUAACCACAGAAUCAUUAAGAUAGACUUCGAGAGAGGGAAUUGACCAGGAAAUACAGAAAUGUCCUGAGCUACUACUACAAUCUUGAUGCAGUAGUCAAUCUGAUUAUAACCCAUUUUGAGAAUCUUUCAACAGCUCCCUAGAACAUCUGAAUACAGCCCUGCAUGUGUGUGACAGUCUUCAUGACCAAAGGAGGCUAUAGAUAUAGGAUCUGAAGUUGAACUGUCUACGUUUGAAUAUUAGCUUUGCUGCCUACUGUGUGACCUUGGACAAGUUGCCUUACUUCUCUGUACUUCAAGUUUAUCUUGCAAAUGAAUAGCUCAUAAAUUUGCUAUGAGAAUUAAAUAAGUCAAUGGAUGUAUACACUUCAAAUAAUUCUGGCACAUUAUAAACACUAUUUUUUAUAUUUUAUUAUGAUUAUAACAGGUAGUAAGAAAAUAGAAUUUGCAUUACCAGAUUGCUGCUGAAUAUUGAGAUACCUGGAUCAGGAACUAGCUACUUUCCUUUGAAUGGUCUUCGCCUUUUUAUUAUAACAUAAGUGAAAAGAAAUAAAGUGAGUGAGCCCUGGGCUGAAAAGGAAGAAAGAGAAAUGCCAUCACUAGAAGUCUGAAAUGCCAUCACUAGAAGCUCACUGUAAUCAAGUGCAGGAAACCAUAAGGCAUACCACUGCAAGUUAAGGGAAGUGCUUGUGUAAUCUCUGUGUUGUUGGUCCAUUUGCAUGAUCCAAAGUUAUCCUUGUCCUAUUCUACAUAGUACGAAAUAGCAGUUAGUUAAAUUCAGUGGCUGAGACUACCUGAAAUAUCAGAAGAGCAACAGAUAUUCCAGGAAUCUUCCACAAAGUGAAUACAAAAUUUGGCAUCCUGAUAUGCAGAAAUUGGGGUGGAAGGAAUUGGGGCUCCCUGGAAUCUACUGUCUGCCUCUGCCUUUCCCAAGGAUGACUCAAAAUGUUGUGAGUUUGAUCAGAAAACUGUGGACUACAAAGAUAGAGCUGAGACCUUGAUUGCUGAGAAGGAACAGAUAAAUUAAAAAGAUGAUGUGGGCAUUCUCGAAAGCAAUUGAGUCUCCAUCUUUGCAGCCUCAGCACAGUAAAAGUGAAAGACUUUGUGCAGAGGAGAAAUGUGUAGAGUGCCAUGUUCCAGAAUGGCAGCAGAGGCCACAGGAAGGUCCAAAAUGGCAGCUGCCACAGUAGGUUGCAGAAUGGCAGCAAUACAGACAAUCUAUUCCUCACAAUCAGGUUCAGAGUGCUGAGCAAUCCAGGGACUCAAUUCCAAUGGCCAAGAGAGAGGAAAUCCCGGCUACUGCUCUGGCUAGCAGUAGGCCCUGACAGCAUCCACAUGUCACUGGUUUUAGGUGCCCAGAGAAUGCACAAGUUCUGAGGUUAAAAACACUUCCACCCUGAUUCCAUAGGGUCUGGGAGUGUGGGCAGUGUGCCCCUGAGAGGGCAGUAUGUGAAGCUUUAAGUGUGAAGUCAAAGGUGUAACAGAGAGCCCAAAAGUCUGGAAAAGCCAGCAGGGUGGACUGUCUAAGAAAACUUGCAAGGAGAGAGCAAAGCCAGCCCAAGAGAGAAGCAGUGGGAGCUAAAACCACUGGAAAUGCUAUAGAGUUGAGUCACCCAAGACCUUUGGAGCUCACAACCAGAUUUCUUUAAAUGCUGAGUGAGGAACUCCAGGAUUUAAUGUUAAUCCUGCUAGAUUUUGGACUUCCUUUAGUCCCAUUCCUUUGUAUCCCUCGAUUUGUACCCUCUGGAAUGGUACUGUUUAUCUUGUAUCAUUUAAUAUUGGAAGUGUUUAGUUUUGUUUUCAUUUGUACAGGUGGUUAUCGCUGCAAGUUUGCCUUAAAACUUGGAGGAGACUUAGGACUUGCACUUUUCACCAAUGCUGAAACUGAUAGGACUUUGGGAGCUCUUGGAGAUGGACUGAAUGUCUUUUGCGCAAAGGAUGUGCAUGAGUCUUUGGGGGUCCACAUGUGAAAUGUUAUGGUUUAUGUUUGGAUGACACUCCUCCAAGCCUCAUGCAAUUACCCAGAAGAUGAAUCUAGCAUUUGUCACUGGGUCAUUGUCUAGUGCUGGGAUUAGCAGUGUGAGUGUUGUACCUGUCCAGGGGCAGGUAGCUGGCAUACUAUAUAAGGGAGGAAAGGAGGAGUGCUUUUCCUCUUUUGUCCUUUCUCUCUUGUUGUUUGUGGCCACCAUGAAUGGCUGCCCCUCAGUCACUCCAUCCUGCCUUGGAGCCAGCUGAGUGUGAACUGAAACAUCAAAACACGGUAAGCUAAAUAAACUUUUAUUUGCUUCACUUGGGCAUCAGGUAUUUUGUCUCAAUAACAAGAGAAAAGUAACCAAGACAACCCAUAAACAAUCCAGCCUCAAAACCAUGAUCUCUUCAUUGAAACAAUAACAGUUCAUUUUUGACAGUGUGACCAUUGAUAGCUUUGACCAUUGAUAAUGCAAUAUUUUUGGAGAUUACAAUUAUAAUUAGUAUUAGAAUAUUACACAAGACAGUUUAAUAUUGAUAUGGUAUGUGUGACCAUGAGGGCUUUGAGGCGGGAAAGAGUUCAGAAGAAUGAGAAACCUAUUAUAGGCACAGGAAAAUAUUACAUUUCAAUGUAUUGCUUUGUUUACAAAGAUAUUUUCUAUGUAAGAUUAUAAGUUUCUUGAUGUUGUGAAAUCAUGUCAUUUAUUUUAAUUUUUAUUCCCUGAAUAUAGUUUAGGAAAAAGGAAUGAACAAUGAUAAAACAAAGCACACAAUAACAUGUAAAGAAUGAAAUAUAAAGAGCAGUCAGAAAGCAGAACAGGAGAGAAGACAAAGUUUCAUUGGUCUCCCAUUUGUCUGGGGAUUGUGUCUUCAUGAUGCUCUUUAUUCUAUUCCUUUAAAAAACUUUAACUCAGGGUCAAGGAUUUAGCUCAGUGGCAAAGUAUCAUAUACUCAUGAUUACCUGCUCAGUGCUGCCUGGGCUGAGGUUUCAAAAACAAGCAGCGAAAGAGAUAGUUACAUCAGUACCAAGCAAAUCUGUUGCUUGAAGGCAAAUGUACAUGCCUUGCUAUUUACAAUAUGGUACCCAGAGCUUAUUACAAAUGCAGAAUCUUGGGCCAUUCCUGGGUUCUACAGAAUCAAAGAUCUGCUCCAGGGGAUUCACGGGCACUACUUUAAGUGCUGAGGCUCAUAUACCCGCAUAGGGACGAGAGUCUGUUGGCCCAUUGUGUAUGAUUUGUAGAGUAUCCGUGAGGUUAGAGGAGCCCGUGUUUUGAAGACUGAGUGACUGGGAAAACAAAGAUGGCAGUAGCUAAAAUAAGGAAGAUAAGAUGAGGAACUGGUUUUGAAGUAGGAGUGAGAAAGAGACAGAAAGAUGCCACUUGGGUUUGGAAAAGAGGAACUUACCGCUCACACUUUGUGCCAAUCAAAUCAAUAGCAAUCACACGUAGUUUGCUUCCAAUAUUCAGAAUCCCCACAUGUACAGAGAAACUAAAUGAGAGGGAAAAACAAAGAAAAUAUUUUUGGUUAAAUAUAUGCAAAAGAAACUCAUCAUUUACAGGUACCUAAACCCCUAAAAAAGCCCAAAGAGGAAGUCACUAUUGCCAUCUCUGUGUCCUCGGUAAGAAGAUUCUGUCUCGAGGCUGAAUUCCAUCAGCCAACUCUUCCUCUUUUCCCUUCCUGCCUUUGUGUAUUUAAUACUUUGAAAAACAAUCCUCUUAAUUUCCUCUAAAACCCAUUUUGGAUAUCCACACUGUGUAAAAUGUGUGUAAAAAGCCUCUUAACACAAUUGUUUUCAAAUGACACUGUCAAUGUAUUUUUCCUCAUUUUGUAAUCAUUAAU